CAUACCAACAGAUUCAGGACUCAGACCAAUAACUCUGUACUGGCCGAAUAAAUCAGGAAGAUGCAGGACCAUGCAAGGUCAGGAAGAAUUUGAGUGGGAAAAAGGUAACAUGCGCAAGGGGAAUUUUUAUCUUCUUUUAUUAGGAUUUUGUGUUGCAUUUACACAUUAUUGUCAGCAUUCAUCAUACACAUAAAUAACUUAUAAAUUAGACACAGCAUAAGGGUUACAUAUCAUAACAAAAUUGCAUGAAGUCCAUACAUCUGGAUUAAGAUUCUUGGGAAAAAAAAAUGGGUUUAGCCAUCAAAUCUCCCCUUAGGAGGUGGAAGUAAAUUCAUUAUGUCUACAAUAGAGAAACAGUAUCAAGCUUGCAAUAUAGAAGCAGAUUGAUCACUUUAUUGCAUCUUUCAAAUUCAAGCAUUCAGUUAAUGUUAUCACAUUACCAAACUCAGCUCAUAGGAGUGUCUGGAUAAUGAUUCAACAAAUCAAAGUUCUUAGGGCAUAAAUUUGAUUUCAUUAGACUGGGCAAUAUCCAUCAGGAGACCAGUCAAACUACUGAUGUCCUAGCUCAUUUUCUUUCUUCAAUAGGAGAGUGCACCGUAACAAGUCCUAUGGAGCUUGACCAGGGUAGUCAAGGAUCAGGGUAGAAAUCGACCUGGGUGGGGCUCAGUUACAAUCUCUAAGCCUUUUGCCCAGUUGCCAACAAAAAAAGAAAAACAAAAGAAUGCUCCUUAAAAAGUAUGUAAAUUAUAACAUGUCAAUGAUCGGACAGGUAACAGAAUCAGAAUGCUGUUAGUUCCCUCCUAUAGCAGAUGAAGAGGAUCACCUCCUCCUAAAUACAAGCUACAUGACCUUCUGAAAUAUAGACAGAUGGAUAAAGGAUAGUACAAGGCAAAUGAAGAAGUUAGACACUAAGGUGGUGUUUGUUUUUUUACUUAAUUCUAAAUAGAACCUUAAUGCUUAAUAGUAUUAAAUAUUAGGUUGUUUGUUUUUAUAGUAUUUUAUUUCUAUUAAGUAUUAAAAAGUAAAAAAAAACCAAUAUGGAGGUGGUGUUUGUUUGUUUGUUUUUUUACUUUUUAAUGACUUAUUAUAAACUUUUUACUAAAUAAAAAAAGCCAAAAUAUGUAGCUUUUUCUAAAUAGAAAAAAUAACAUAUUAGUUUUUCUUUACUUUUUAAUACUUUAUAGAAAUAAAAUACUACAAAAACAAACAACCUAAUAUUUAACACUAUUAAGCAUUAAAGUUCUACUUAGAAUUAAGUAAAAAAACAAACACCACCUAAGAUUGAAAAGUACUAAGCAAUGACAAGUAUUCAACAUUAGAGUCACAUGCAAAACAUAUUGAGCUAAAGGGCUAACCUGAGCAC
rnacentral:lncRNA from 1 species